CGGGGACGGAGGGGGAGGCUCGAGCGGGCUAUUUAAGCGUGGGAUAUCAUCGGGUGGUUUCGCCCCUCGUUCAACUUCCGACUUCCAUCGUCGCUCGGUGUUUUACUCGCUCCAGGCGCCGGAGCGUGAGGAGCCGCGGGUCAAAGAGGGAGAAAGAGAAGACGAGGGGUGGGUAUGUAAGUGGCGGUGGAGUCUUUCCUGGCGUGAGAUACUGUGGCGAUGAAAGGAGGAGGCGGAGGAGGGUUUCGCCUCUUCUUCUUCUCCUCCGGAAACAGCCGGAGGAUACCUCUCAGACUCCGUCAGCUCCCCGCCGGAUCCUCCUUCAAGAUCAAACUCCUCCUGUUCUGGUGCGUCGCCUUCGCCCUUCUCCUCGUUCUCAUCCUCCUCCUCCUCCUUUGCUGCCGCCCCUCACACUAUUCCGGAUCGUCGCCUCCUCCCGGGAGAGGGUACACUAUAGUGAUGAACACAUGGAAGAGAAAUGACCUUCUAAAGCAAUCUGUCGUUCAUUAUGCUUCUUGCGUCGGUGUCGAGUCUAUUCGCAUCGUAUGGAGCGAGCCCGAUCGACCUUCAGAUUCCCUACGUGAUGCUUUAUGGAAAGCCGCAAAACCAAAUUGUAAAAGCUGCAAUGGCUUUGAACUAAAAUUCGACAUAAAUGAAGAAGACAGUCUAAACAACAGAUUCAAAGAAAUCAUGGAUAUAAAGACAGAUGCUAUCUUUUCGAUUGAUGAUGAUGUUCUAUUUCCCUGCACAUCUGUAGAGUUGGCUUUCAGUGUGUGGCAAAGUGCCCCUACCGCAAUGGUAGGGUUUGUACCUCGCAUGCAUUGGCCGGAUAAAAUGAAAGAAAACAAGGAACGUUACAGGUAUGGAGGCUGGUGGUCUGUUUGGUGGACGGGCACGUACAGUAUGGUGCUCUCUAAGGCAGCAUUUUUCCACAAGAAGUAUCUUCAUCUCUAUACAAAUCACAUGCCUGUAUCUAUCCGUCAUUACGUAACCGAGCACAGGAAUUGUGAAGAUAUUGCGAUGUCGUUCCUCGUUGCAAACGUAACAGGUGCUCCUCCAAUAUGGGUGAAAGGCAGGAUAUUUGAGAUUGGAUCAAAUGGCAUCAGUAGUAUGGGAGGUCACAGUGAACAAAGGUCUCAAUGCCUCGAUUUGUUUGCUGAAAUUUACGGUCAUAUGCCUCUGGUGGCAACCAGUACGAAGGUCAUAGAUAGUCGACACAGUUGGUUUUGGUGAUAUAUAUAUAUAUAUAUAUAUAUAUAUAUAUAUACAUGUCAGAUAUGUGUAUAUAUAUUUUAUAUCAUAGAUAGUCCGCAUUGGUUUUUGGCUUUCAUUUAAUUUCCUUUUCUAUGAUUUCAGUGGUCAUACAACAUCAUAUCACAAUAUGUUGUAAUGUUUCCUCCUUGUAGGUCUAUUUGGUCGGACGUAGGUUUUAAUUGUCGUGUAAAUACAAUAACAAGUAAUUGGAAUUGCAGUAAAUAUACAGUUGCAUCUCCUGACUUUGAACAGCCGCGGAUCAUGGGAUCCAAUUGUGAUCUGGAUAUUAAAAUUGGAUCUGGUAAGAUAUGAUACCGUACGCGUAUGAACUGUUAUCAUCCGAUUUCUUAACUGGUCCAGUUUUUGAAGUCCAUUUAUCAUCGGAGUCACGUGCCCUUUGUCAAACCUCAACUCUCCUUUCCAAUCUGGUCAAAUUAUCAUUGGGAAGCCACGCGCCUCGGCUAGUCGGUGAUCUUGGCCAAGUUAAUGGGCUGGGCCAAGAAGCAAGUCGGCCCAUUUUGUUUUUGGCUCCGUCCUCUCGAUGUCUCCUCCCUCGGCCGCCACGCCCCGCGCCUCAUCGUUCCCUCUUCCUCCUCUCUCCUCCGGUUAAGAUCCACAGUUCCAUCCUUCCCUCUCUCUAUCUCUCUCUCUCUCUCUCUCUCUCUGGUAUUCCGUUCCCUUACUUUUUCCUUCGCUCAAUCUUCUCGUGUGGAUCAGUUUACUGCGGCAGAGGAGAUAAGAAGACCGCGAAGGGGAAACGGUUCAAGCAUUCCUUGGGAAACGCGCGGCCGCGGGACAAGACGAGGGGGAGAGGCCCUCGCCUCCCAAGAAGGACCGCUUCGACGACGGAGAGAUCGUCAAGAUCGAAAUCGAUGAGUCCCUCUUCUCCUAGCCCUAGAGAACCCUGCUCUUCCCUCGUGUAAUUUCUCGUUAAGCUUUGUUGGCGUGCUUGCUUUCCCUUAUAAUCUGUGUUUUCGUCUGCAAGUUGGAUCGGCUAAUCUUGACUCGUUCAAAUCUCUGCUUUUGUUUUUUUUGCAUCUACCGAUCCGGAAGUUGAAAGUUACAGAAAUGACAACUCGUUUUCUUGCAUUUACGAUAGAGUUAAUGAGGAGGAUUUGUUA